rnacentral:rRNA from 1 species
GAUGAACGCUGGCGGCGUGCUUAACACAUGCAAGUCGAACGAUGACGCCCAGCUUGCUGGGUGGAUUAGUGGCGAACGGGUGAGUAACACGUGAGUAACCUGCCCUUAACUCUGGGAUAAGCCUGGGAAACUGGGUCUAAUACCGGAUAGGAGCGCCUACCGCAUGGUGGGUGUUGGAAAUAUUUAUCGGUUUUGGAUGGACUCGCGGCCUAUCAGCUUGUUGGUGAGGUAAUGGCUCACCAAGGCGACGACGGGUAGCCGGCCUGAGAGGGUGACCGGCCACACUGGGACUGAGAGACGGCCCAGACUCCUACGGGAGGCAGCAGUGGGGAAUAUUGCACAAUGGGCGAGAGCCUGAUGCAGCGACGCCGCGUGAGGGAUGACGGCCUUCGGGUUGUAAACCUCUUUCAGUAGGGAAGAAGCGAAAGUGACGGUACCUGAAGAAGAAGCACCGGCUAACUACGUG